rnacentral:rRNA from 1 species
GACGAACGCUGGCGGUGUGCUUAACACAUGCAAGUCGAACGAAGUGGCGAACGGGUGAGUAACGCGUAAUCAACCUGCCCUUCAGAGGGGGACAACAGUUGGAAACGACUGCUCAUACCGCAUACUGAAGGAGGGGCUUGCGUCUGAUUAGCUGGUUGGAGGGGUAACGGCCCACCAAGGCGCUGAUCAGUAGCCGGUCUGAGAGGAUGAACGGCCACAUUGUGACUGGGACACGGCCCAGGCUCCUACGGGAGGCAGCAGUGGGGAAUCUUCCGCAAUGGAAGAAAGUCUGACGGAGCAACGGCGCGGGAGUGAUGACGGCCUUCGGGUUGUAAAGCUCUGUUAAUCGGGACGCGGUACCGGAAUAGAAAGCCACGGCUAACUACGUGCCAGCAGCCGCGGUAAUUC